GAUGCUAUCAAUGAGUUUGAUUUCCUGGGC
rnacentral:piRNA from 1 species